UCUUCCGCAAUGGACGAAAGUCUGACGGAGCAACGCCGCGUGAGUGAUGAAGGUUUUCGGAUCGUAAAACUCUGUUAUUAGGGAAGAACAAAUGCGUAAGUAACUGUACGCGUCUUGACUGUAACUAAUCAGAAUUCCACGGCUAACUACGUGCCAGCAGCCGCGGUAAUACGUAGGUGGCAAGCGUUAUCCGGAAUUAUUGGGCGUAAAGCGCGCGUAGGCGGUUUCUUAAGUCUGAUGUGAAAGCCCACGGCUCAACCGUGGAGGGUCAUUGGAAACUGGGAAACUUGAGUACAGAAGAGGAAAGUGGAAUUCCAUGCGUAGCGGUGAAAUGCGCAGAGAUAUGGAGGAACACCAGUGGCGAAGGCGACUUUCUGGUCUGUAACUGACGCUGAUGUGCGAAAGCGUGGGGAUCAAACAG
rnacentral:rRNA from 1 species